rnacentral:rRNA from 1 species
UACGUAGGGGGCAAGCGUUGUCCGGAUUUAUUGGGCGUAAAGAGCUCGUAGGCUGUUCGGUAAGUCGGGUGUUAAACCCUCAGGCUCAACCUGGGGCCGCACCCGAUACUGCUGUGACUAGAGUCCGGUAGGGGAGCGUGGAAUUCCUGGUGUAGCGGUGAAAUGCGCAGAUAUCAGGAGGAACACCAGCGGCGAAGGCGGCGCUCUGGGCCGGAACUGACGCUGAGGAGCGAAAGCGUGGGGAGCAAACAGG